rnacentral:rRNA from 1 species
ACAUAUGUGUAAGUAACUGUGCACAUCUUGACGGUACCUAAUCAGAAAGCCACGGCUAACUACGUGCCAGCAGCCGCGGUAAUACGUAGGUGGCAAGCGUAUCCGGAAUUAUUGGGCGUAAAGCGCGCGUAGGCGGUUUUUUAAGUCUGAUGUGAAAGCCCACGGCUCAACCGUGGAGGGUCAUUGGAAACUGGAAAACUUGAGUGCAGAAGAGGAAAGUGGAAUUCCAUGUGUAGCGGUGAAAUGCGCAGAGAUAUGGAGGAACACCAGUGGCGAAGGCGACUUUCUGGUCUGUAACUGACGCUGAUGUGCGAAAGCGUGGGGAUCAAACAGGAUUAGAUACCCUGGUAGUCCACGCCGUAAACGAUGAGUGCUAAGUGUUAGGGGGUUUCCGCCCCUUAGUGCUGCAGCUAACGCAUUAAGCACUCCGCCUGGGGAGUACGACCGCAAGGUUGAAACUCAAAGGAAUUGACGGC